ACGCCUUUUUCUGGCUCCCGUUGUCUCGCGUUCCGUCGUUGCUCUGGUGCCCUGGACUGCUGUGAAUGUGUUUUUAUGCCCUACUAGUGUUGCCUGGGGGUGCUUUUAUGUGUGCACCCUGGAAGAUAGGUCCAGAAGCCUUGCGAUUUCUUAGAUUAAAGCUAAGUGUACUCGUGACCCUACCAGCACUUUUCAAGAUACUUUCGACGUAUUCAUUGCGGUGAACAACGCGGUUGGGACAGCACACUCAUGACGUGGGAAGGUCACAGAAAUGUUGAAAGACAUCAGAUUGGGCAUACGCUUCACCCGUGCAACUUCGUCAUGUGCUCCACGGCAGCACAAGCCUUUACGGCUGUGCCACUGUAUGUAAAAA